ACUCAAAUGAAUUGACGGGGGCCCGCACAAGCGGUGGAGCAUGUGGUUUAAUUCGAUGCAACGCGAAGAACCUUACCAAGGCUUGACAUCCUCUUGACCGGUACAGAGAUGUACCUUACCCUUCGGGGACAGGAGAGACAGGUGGUGCAUGGUUGUCGUCAGCUCGUGUCGUGAGAUGUUGGGUUAAGUCCCGCAACGAGCGCAACCCUUAUUGACAGUAGCCAGCGGGUUAAGCCGGGCACUCUGUUGAGACUGCCGUGGAUAACACGGAGGAAGGUGGGGACGACGUCAAAUCAUCAUGCCCUUUAUGUCUUGGGCAACACACGUGCUACAAUGGCUGAUACAAAGCGACGCGAAGGAGCGAUCUGGAGCAAAGCGCAAAAACUCAGCCUCAGUUCGGAUUGUAGUCUGCAACUCGACUAUAUGAAGCCGGAAUCGCUAGUAAUCGCGAAUCAGCAUGUCGCGGUGAAUACGUUCCCGGGCCUUGUACACACCGCCCGU
rnacentral:rRNA from 1 species